rnacentral:lncRNA from 1 species
CACCCCUGCCCUCAGCCUCCUUCAAAGUGGCCGCUGGGGCUGGGGUCUGUCUUUGCAGAGGUGCCAGGCCACAUGCCCUGCCCACCUCUACCAGCUAUGCCGCCUCUGAAGUUCCUCCAGCGGCACUGAGGAGGGGCCCUGUGGUCGAGGGUGCAGUUAAACGAGGCCCGACCGGGUAGUUGAGCUCAGCUUGGCUGUACUUGUCUUCCUUGGACCUGCUGGGCACCCCCAGACUGUGACUUCAUCCUGGACGAAGGCCAGGUCUGACUCAUCUCGGGGUCCCCAGCCCCGGCCCAGGGCCUACAGAGAAGCUGGCACCAGGAAAGGUGCGUGGAGUGUGUGGGAGAAUCAGUGAUAAAUGAUCACAGGGAGCAGAGUCCUGGAGUUUUCAAGACGGUUCUGAUUUCGGUUUCUGUCCAGUUGCUCCCAUAAGAAGCCAGCUGUGGCCAGACCACAUGUCUCACCUGCUGGCUUAGAAAGCACAGUCUCCAUCUACAGGAGAGGCAUGGGACCUGGGGUGGUGGUGUUAUAUCCUGAUGCUCCAGUUCUGCCUCUGCCCCAGGGGCUCCCUGCUCCCUCCAGUCCCCAAGCCUCAGUCCCAAAUCUGUGACGGGGUCUGGGGAGACUGGGAAGUGUCUGAGGGUCCCUGCCAUGCAGCCCUCUCACCCUCACUUGUCUUCUCUGAGCUGCCUCUGUGCCUCACGCUCGAGCGCCUUUGGCUCUGGGAGGCGAGACUGACAGCAGCAGAGGUGAAACCCCGGGUGCAUUAAUGGAGCCCGUGUUUACCCAGGCUGGGCCCGUAAAAUGCCUCAAGCGGAACUGAGCUCGGCUUGCAGCUCCCGGGCAUUGUCCGUUACGGCUGUUGAACCUUGGAAUGGACCACCCGGGUGGGCAUCUCAUUCCCUUGACACCUUGGAAAACUCCAAAGGGAAGCUUGGGAAUGCCUUGAGGCAGAGG